UACGAAGGGGGCUAGCGUUGCUCGGAAUCACUGGGCGUAAAGGGUGCGUAGGCGGGGCUUUAAGUCAGGGGGGAAAGCCCGAGGCUCAACCUCGGAACUGCCUUCGAUACUGCGGGUCUCGAGUCCGGGAGAGGUGAGUGGAAUUCCUAGUGUAGAGGUGAAAUUCGUAGAUAUUAGGAAGAACACCAGUGGCGAAGGCGGCUCACUGGCCCGGUACUGACGCUGAGGCGCGAAAGCGUGGGGAGCAAACAGG
rnacentral:rRNA from 1 species